rnacentral:rRNA from 1 species
UACAGAGGGUGCAAGCGUUAAUCGGAAUUACUGGGCGUAAAGCGCACGUAGGCGGUUUUUUAAGUCAGCUGUGAAAGCCCCCGGCUCAACCUUGGAAUUGCAUUUGAAACUGGAAAACUAGAGUGUGUGAGAGGAGGGUAGAAUUCCAAGUGUAGCGGUGAAAUGCGUAGAGAUUUGGAGGAAUACCAGUGGCGAAGGCGGCCACCUGGAGCAACACUGACGCUCAGGUGCGAAAGCGUGGGGAGCAAACAGG